UUUAAGUGCAACCAUGAGUUUUUGCGUCCAACUUUUAUUGUUCAUUUUAUUUAAUUUUUUAUAAUUAAUAUUUUUAUUAUUAUGAGAUGAUAAAAUAUAAAUAGUACUUUGCUCGUGACUUAUAUUUUUAAUUUUUUUAAAAAAAUUUUCGAAUAAAACGGACGAUCAAAGUUGGGCUCGGAAAAUCAUGGCUGUAGCAGCU
rfam:Oryza glumipatula chromosome 1, whole genome shotgun sequence.